UUUGUUUGGAGAGUUUGAUCCUGGCUCAGGACGAACGCUGGCGGCGUGCUUAACACAUGCAAGUCGAACGGUGAAGGGACUGGUUUUGCUGGUUCUGGAUGAGUGGCGAACGGGUGAGUAACACGUGAGUAACCUGCCCCCUUCUUCUGGAUAACCGCAUGAAAGUGUGGCUAAUACGGGAUAUUCUGGGUCUGUCGCAUGGUGGGCCUGGGAAAGAUUGCGCUUUUUUGGUGUUUUUGGUGGGGGAUGGGCUCGCG
rnacentral:rRNA from 1 species